rnacentral:rRNA from 1 species
AUCGAUGAAGAACGCAGCGAAAUGCGAUAAGUAAUGUGAAUUGCAGAAUUCAGUGAAUCAUCGAAUCUUUGAACGCACCUUGCGCUCUCUGGUAUUCCGGAGAGCACGCCUGUUCGAGUGUCAUGAAACUCUCAAGCAGAAUUGGACUUUAUUGUCUAAUUCUUGUUUGGAUUUGGACUCUUGCCGCGUUACUGCGGCUGGUCUUAAAAGUAUUAGCUGGUCUGUAAGAACCUUGGGUUUGACUUGGCGUGAUAAAUAUUCGCUGAGGACACUUUGGUGGCCUAAUUUCUUACUGGAUUGCUUCUAAUCGUCUUUACCGACAACUUAUAUUUCAAAUCUGACCUCGAAUCAGGUGGGACUACCCGCUGAACUUAAGCAUAUCAAUAAGCGGAGGAAAAGAAACUAACAAGGAUUCCCCUAGUAACGGCGAGUGAAGCGGGAUGAGCUCAAAUUUAAAAUCUGGUGGUCUUUGGCCAUCCGAGUUGUAAUCUAGAGAAGUGUUUUCCGUGCUGGACCGUGUACAAGUUUCCUGGAACGGAACGUCAUAGAGGGUGAGAAUCCCGUCCUUGACACGGACUACCAGUGCUCUGUGAUGCACUCUCAACGAGUCGAGUUGUUUGGGAUUGCAGCUCAAAAUGGGAGGUAAAUUCCUUCUAAAGCUAAAUAUUGGCGAGAGACCGAUAGCGAACAAGUACCGUGAGGGAAAGAUGAAAAGCACUUUGGAAAGAGAGUUAAACAGUACGUGAAAUUGUUAAAAGGGAAACGAUUGAAGUCAGUCGCGUCUGCUUGGACUCAGCCUUACCUCGGUUUGGUGCAUUUCCUUGUAGACGGGCCAGCGUCAAUGUUGCUUACUGGAAAAGGGUUAAAGGAAUGUGGCUCUUUCGGGAGUGUUAUAGCCUUUGAUCGUAUACAGCGAGUGAUAUUGAGUGGUACAGCAUGCUUCGGCGGUGCUUGUGCUGGCAUAAUGGCUUUAAACGACCCGUCUUGAAACACGG